GAGUUUGAUCCUGGCUCAGAUUGAACGCUGGCGGCAGGCUUAACACAUGCAAGUCGAGCGGUAACAGGGGAAGCUUGCUUCCCGCUGACGAGCGGCGGACGGGUGAGUAAUGCUUAGGAAUCUGCCCAGUAGUGGGGGAUAGCCCGGGGAAACCCGGAUUAAUACCGCAUACGUCCUACGGGAGAAAGCAGGGGAUCUUCGGACCUUGCGCUAUUGGAUGAGCCUAAGUCGGAUUAGCUAGUUGGUGGGGUAAAGGCCUACCAAGGCGACGAUCCGUAGCUGGUCUGAGAGGAUGAUCAGCCACAUCGGGACUGAGACACGGCCCGAACUCCUACGGGAGGCAGCAGUGGGGAAUAUUGGACAAUGGGGGCAACCCUGAUCCAGCCAUGCCGCGUGUGUGAAGAAGGCUUUCGGGUUGUAAAGCACUUUCAGUAGGGAGGAAAACCUUAUGGUUAAUACCCAUGAGGCUUGACGUUACCUACAGAAGAAGCACCGGCUAACUCCGUGCCAGCAGCCGCGGUAAUACGGAGGGUGCAAGCGUUAAUCGGAAUUACUGGGCGUAAAGCGCGCGUAGGUGGUUUGGUAAGCGAGAUGUGAAAGCCCCGGGCUUAACCUGGGAACGGCAUUUCGAACUGUCAGACUAGAGUGUGGUAGAGGGUAGUGGAAUUUCCUGUGUAGCGGUGAAAUGCGUAGAUAUAGGAAGGAACACCAGUGGCGAAGGCGGCUACCUGGACCAACACUGACACUGAGGUGCGAAAGCGUGGGGAGCAAACAGGAUUAGAUACCCUGGUAGUCCACGCCGUAAACGAUGUCAACUAGCCGUUGGGACUCUUGAAGUCUUAGUGGCGCAGCUAACGCACUAAGUUGACCGCCUGGGGAGUACGGCCGCAAAGUUAAAACUCAAAUGAAUUGACGGGGGCCCGCACAAGCGGUGGAGCAUGUGGUUUAAUUCGACGCAACGCGAAGAACCUUACCUGGCCUUGACAUCCAGAGAGCUUUCCAGAGAUGGAUUGGUGCCUUCGGGAACUCUGAGACAGGUGCUGCAUGGCCGUCGUCAGCUCGUGUCGUGAGAUGUUGGGUUAAGUCCCGUAACGAGCGCAACCCCUAUCCCUGGUUGCUAGCAGGUAAUGCUGAGAACUCCAGGGAGACUGCCGGUGACAAACCGGAGGAAGGUGGGGAUGACGUCAGGUCAUCAUGGCCCUUACGGCCAGGGCUACACACGUGCUACAAUGGCGCGUACAGAGGGCUGCCAACUCGCGAGAGUGAGCCAAUCCCUUAAAACGCGUCGUAGUCCGGAUCGGAGUCUGCAACUCGACUCCGUGAAGUCGGAAUCGCUAGUAAUCGCGAAUCAGAAUGUCGCGGUGAAUACGUUCCCGGGCCUUGCACACAC
rnacentral:rRNA from 1 species